rnacentral:sRNA from 1 species
CAAAUCUUCGAAUUAAAUAUUUAACAUUUAACAAUGUUCCCUAAAUCUCUCCACAUUACCUACACGAUUAGUUCCUAAAAUAAAACUUCCAAAAUAUUUAAUAUCAUUUAAUUACUACAAAAUUAUCAUUUUUGAUAUUGCUUUUCUCCAUGACUAUACCAAUCCGAUUAUAAUCAUCAAAUCGCAGAGAUAUUUGAUAGCAUUUACUUACUACAAAAUUACAAAAUAUUUAGACAAUAAUUCAUAAACAUAUCAUAAAUAAGAUCAAUAUUAAUAAAAUUAAUGGUUUUUUUACGGGACGGGUUGGCGGGACGGGUUUGGCAGGACGUUACUUAAUAACAAUUGUAAACUAUAAAAUAAAAAUAUUUUAUAGAUAGAUACAAUUUACAAACUUUUAUGUAUACUAACUUUUAAAAAUAAAUUGUUCCCGCGGUACACUGCGGCUUAAAAUCUAGUAGUUUAAUUAAAAGUGGAGAGAAGUGUAUUUUUCAUACAAAAACUCAUAAACAAGGUAGUUUUCAAAAUUCCCUAAUAAUUAUCAUGUA